rnacentral:rRNA from 1 species
AUGCACGCUGGCGGCGUGCUUCACACAUGCAAGUCGAACGAAGCACCUCUCCCGAAGAUUGACACAGCUUGCUGUAGAUUGAUUCAUUUGAGGUGACUGAGUGGCGGACGGGUGAGUAACGCGUGGGUAACCUGCCUCAUAGAGGGGGACAACAGUUGGAAACGACUGCUAAUACCGCAUAGUAAGAAGAAUUCGCAUGUUUUCUUCUUGAAAGAUUUAUCGCUAUGAGAUGGACCCGCGUCUGAUUAGCUAGUUGGUAAGGUAACGGCUUACCAAGGCGACGAUCAGUAGCCGGCUUGAGAGAGUGAACGGCCACAUUGGGACUGAGACACGGCCCAAACUCCUACGGGAGGCAGCAGUGGGGAAUAUUGCACAAUGGGGGAAACCCUGAUGCAGCGACGCCGCGUGAGUGAAGAAGUAUUUCGGUAUGUAAAGCUCUAUCAGCAGGGAAGAUAAUGACGGUACCUGACGAAGAAGCCCCGGCUAACUACGUG